UACGUAGGCAGCAAGCGUUGUUCGGAUUUACUGGGCGUAAAGAGUAUGUAGGCGGUUGCGUAAGUUCGGUGUGAAAUCUCCCGGCUUAACUGGGAGGGUGCGCCGAAAACUGCGUGGCUAGAGUGCGGGAGAGGAGAGCGGAAUUCCUGGUGUAGCGGUGAAAUGCGUAGAUAUCAGGAGGAACACCGGCGGUGUAGACGGCUCUCUGGACCGUUACUGACGCUGAGAUACGAAAGCGUGGGUAGCAAACAGG
rnacentral:rRNA from 1 species